GUCGGGUCACGGGGCAGUGCGUGCGUGUUGCAGAGCGGCACGGCGCUAACGCAGGCGGGCGCGUACAGUUGGCCGAGCAAAGUGCUGCGCGCAGAAAGUGAAAUAGAGCUGUGCCGCGUUUGUUGGUAACUUCCACGGGAAUGUCGGGUGUGAUCUGCGGCCGAACGUCAGAGACGGGUAGCGUGGGGUGGGUUGCGUUUCCUUGUUUUGGAGACGGGUCACUUUGGAAUAGGAGGCUUGUGCUCGCAGCGGGUGGGCACCGAGAGCGCUGCUGGUUUUGGGAACGGUAAAACCUCUCGUUUCCUCGCCUUGGUGCAGUGUGUUACAGAGUUGUCUGGAGAGGGAUACAUCCACGGCAGGAGGGAGCCAAGGCCGUGUACCGGAGUCUUGAAAUUACUGACUGCUGACUUUUCAUUACCCUUAAAAUAGACCCUUUACAUUACAUACAGUGUGUGGGGGGCCGCGCAUGAGGUCAUACCCCCCCCCAACCCCCCUUGUUCCUGCUGUUUGCAUGGAUAUCUCCUGCUCUUCAGUCCCAGCCUUCAUCACAAGAUGUGGUGAGAAAGGCACCUGCUCUCCCAGGACGGGAGGCUGCUAGGAUCUGCCGGUAGGCAUCCUGGGGCAGGCUGCCACAGGCCAUUUUGCAAACCAGGACCAAAUAACUCCCUGUGCUCUCUUGCAGCUUGUUACAGCUUCGUUUUAAGCAGUCCGGGAAACUAAAGAAGAAAGAGGAAGGGAAAAUAAUAUUCCCUCUCAGCUUAGCAACUGAUGACUUUUUAAUAUAGGGCCAACUCAAUAACAAAGAAAGCUUAUCUACUCUGCUUCACUCUACGGGACUGCGCUGCUGGAGAAGAGUCAUUGCAUCUUGAUUGCUUUUAUGUUCCUGCAGCCACUUUGUCACUGUCAUUGGUCUUUAAUUCUCACCCAUCUCCCCGGCUGCUUUUAGAAACAGCUUCACAGGCAGAUCAGAGCUCCUUCUGCCACCUCUCCUUCCACCUGGCGCAGAGGGCCAUGGUACUUCAGCUGUGCAGUGCUACCACCCUCUGGCCACUUCAAUUCCACAGUCCUCAAUCUGCAGGAGACUCUGAACUUAGUCGUAUGCCUCCUACAUCUACUCUGUAAGAUAAAUUUCACCCUUCAGGGUACCUAGUGUGUGAGAGAGUGAUUUGCACCUUCUGAUGCAGCUCUAUACAAUGCUUGUUUUGACUGAUUCAUUUUGUAAAGGGAUUUCAUCUGGGUGAAGGAAGUAGUUAGACUUAGCCAAAUACAGUCAUCCACCACAUACGGCACUGGGGUUUUUCUAAAAGGCCACCAUCCAUGUUAGAUUGGUGACUGAUUCCUGCUUGGAGGAUAUAUUCGGUGGGAUGAGACGUUCCUGGAUCAUUUUGGGAUUUAAGUGCUGGAAUGGCAUUUCCUGUGGUACCUUGACCAAGAGAUUUUAUCUUUCAGCACCUCAGCCGCACAGCUGUAACACAGAUAUCAUGCACUUUUUUUGCACAUGGGUGUUGCCAGGAUGAACAUAUUAAUUAUUUUGAUCACAUGGGUGUGAGCUUAUAAAAAUUCCAAGUUAUGUAGCAGUCUGCCCAGAUCACUCUAUGCUGACGCUACCAACACACUGAGACUUCUGCAGAGAUAGUUUUCAGUGGUGGGGAGCUUCUGUCCACCAUAAACUGUGCUGAGGCCACUAGCUCAUUUCCCAGAGCACAGCAAGAAGAUAUAGGGUGGGAACGAUUGGAGGAGCAAAAAGUAAUUUGGAACCAAAACCUAAAGUACUUGGAGUAUAAGAGCUAUUUCACAUACAGCUACUACAAUAGAAGAAAAGGCUUAUUUUGCUGAAAUUGUCCCAACUUUUCAUAUUUUAUGUAAGAAACUGCACAAUAAUAAUAAGCACAGAGAUAAAAAUAGGCUCAGAAGCAAAACUGUGGCUUCAAAGUUGAAACACCAUGUUCUAGCAUUAUGCUUUUUUUGUGCCAAGCAAAUCAUAUCUUUUUAAACCUUUAUGGGACAAGAAAAUGUGAAGAACAUAGGUAAUAAAGUACUUUCUUGCAGAAUCUUGCCAUCUGUGUAGCUCUUUAGGGGUGAUGGAGGAUCACUCUAGCCAUAUCCUAUGUGAAGGAGCAAUGAAAGCAUUCAUUGUUCUUUAUAAUUUCCUUGUUACAGCCUCUCCUUACAGGUGAUAGGUUGGCACACUCUUUCCUAGAAGCACUGUGGAUUAGGAGAGCUAAGACUGUGUAGAGCUCACUCUGAGACUUCACCCAGACUUCUCACCGGAACUCUAAAAUCUGUUUGAAGAUGCUAUUAUGUUUUUGACAGGAGCAUAAAAGAGGGAGCCAAGAGGCAGCACGCUAGCAUGAACCUUCACAUGGUUUUGUAAAGAAGCUGGUUCAACAAGAUGUCAGAAAUGGACAUUUUAUCUGCCUUGACAAACCAUUCAAGUGUAUAUGUAGAUUUUUUUAUUUUUAUUUUUUGUCAGAGCAGUUCAUGCUAGAAGUGGAUUUUGGUUUUAAUUUUAUUGUUGUCAUUGUCUUCUCCUUGAUGCAGUAGUAUAAUGGUACAAUCUCUUGUAAGGACACGAUUGUUUCAGUGGAAAUUUAUCCAUAGUACGUGGCCUACUUUUUGCCUGACAGUGGCUAUAUUGGCCUUACAUACAUAGAAAGUUGCAAGACAAUGCUAAAAGGUUGAACUAGUGUCCCACUGAAAGAGUAGUUAAAGUCCCACAGUUGUUAUGUGUAGGCAAUCCCUGAGUGCCAGCAGUGCUCUUUCAUUUCUCAGGUUCAUAGUGGGAGGAGUGGUCAUAGUUCAAUUUUAUCUCAGAACAGAGUCUCAUUUUAUAGCAUUCAAUGUCUAUGGGAAAGGGACCUACUCUAUGUUCUCUGCCUUGAAUUCCUUAUCAAAAAUGAGUCUGAUCAAAACAGUUUAGUCUGUAAAUCUUAGUUUAGUCUGUAAAUAUCUGAACUGAAGAGCCUACGAUCUUUUUUCACUUUGGAAAAAGAAAAAAUAAGAACAACCUGAAGAGUCUGGUAGCAUCUCUACAUUUAUCAAAAAUAAAUAACCCUAUCUUUUCUUCUCAUCUUCUCUCAUGUCCGUAACCAAGUGCUUAUUUAUAUAAAAAACAAAAACAAACAAGAAAAAAAUGGAAAGAAUCAUAGAAUCAUAGAAUUACUCAGGCUGGGAAGGACCUCAAAGAUCAUCAAGUCCAACCGCCGCCUAACCAUAGUACCCUAACUCUAACAACCCUCCACUAAAUCCUAUCUCUGAGCACCACAUCCAAACAGCUCUUAAACACAUCCAGGGACGGUGACUCAACCACCUCCCUGGGGAGCCUAUUCCAAUGUUUAACCACUCUUUCUGUAAAGAAGUGUAUUCUAACGUCCAACCUAAACUUACCUUGGUGCAACUUGAGGCCAUUUCCCCUCGUCUUGUCACCUGUCACCAGUGAGAAGUCGCACUCACUGUAAGCAUCCUUCAGGUACUGGAAGAGAAUAAUAAGGUCUCCCCUCAGCCUCCUCUUCCCCAGACUAAACAGCCCCAGCUCCCUCAGCCUCUCCUCAUAGGGCUGAUUUUCCAAGCCCUUCACUAGCCUCGUUGCCCUUCUCUGGACCUGCUCCAGUACCUCCAUGUCCUUCUUGUACUGAGGUGCCCAAAACUGAACACAGUACUCGAGGUGAGGCCUCACCAAUGCCGAGUACAGGGGCAGGAUGACUUCCCUAGUCCUGCUCACCACACUAUUCCUGAUACAAGCCAGGAUGCCACCGGCCCCCCUGGCCACCUGGGCACACUGCUGGCUCACAUUCAGCUGACUGUCCAACAGUACGCCAAGGUCCCUUUCCAUCAGGCAGCUUUCCAGCCACUCUGCCCCAAGCCUGUAGGGUUGCCUGGGGUUGUUGUGACCAAAAUGCAGAACCCAACACUUGGCCCUAUUGAAACUCAUGCCAUUAACCUUGGCCCAUCAAUCCAGUCUAUCCAGGUCCCUCUGUAGUGUCCUUCUCCCCUCUGGCAGAUCAACACUCCCUCCCAGCUUGGUGUCGUCUGCAAACUUACUGAGGAUGCACUCAAUACCCUCAUCCAGGUCAUCAGUGAAGAUAUUAAACAGAAGCAGCCCCAGCACUGAGUCUUGGGGGAUACCGCUCGUGACCGGCCACUAACGGGAUUCAACUCCAUUGACCACGACAAUUUGGGCCUGGCCAUCCAUCCAGUGCUUCACCCAGCAGAGCGUACACCCAUCCAGACCAUGGGCAGCCAGCUUCUCCACAAGAAUGUUAUGGCGGACAGUGUGAAAGGCCUUACUGAAGUCCAGGUAGACCACAUUGACAGCGUGACCCUCCUCCACUAAGCGGGUCACCUUGUCAUAGAACGAAAUCAGGUUUGUCAGACAGGAUCUACCGUUUGCAAACCCAUGCUGACUGGGCCUGAUCCCCUGGUUGACCUUUACUUGGUCCAUGAUGGUUCCCAAGAUUAUUCGUUCCAUGACCUUCCCUGGUACCGAGGUGAGACUGAUAGGCCUGUAGCUACCAGGAUCACCUUUCUGGCCCUUUUUGAAGAUGGGCGUCACAUUUGCCAGUUUUCAAUCCACUGGGACAUGCCCAGUUAGCCAGGACUACCAAAAAAUAAUGGAGAGUGGCUUGGCAACCACAUCCGCCAACUCUCUCAGCACUCUAGGGUGCAGUCCAUCCGGCCCCAUGGACUUGUAAGCAUCCAGCUUUUGCAGCAGGUCCAAAACUAUGUCGUCAUGGAUCAUGAAGGGCUUAUUCUGUUCCCCAUCCCUAUCUACCAGCGCAGGGGGCUGUGUUCCCAGGGAGUAACAAGUCUUAUUAUUAAAGACUGAGGCAAAGAAAGCAUUAAGUACCUCAGCCUUAUCCCUAUCCUUGGUGACCAGGUUGCCUUCGGCAUCCAACAAGGGAUGGAGAUUCUCCCUAGACUUCCUCUUGCUGUUAAUGUGUUUAUAAAAGCAUUUACUGUUUUCCUUCACUUUAGUGGCCAAGCUCAAUUCUAGCUGUGCUUUGGCUUUUCUAAUUUUCUCCCUGCACAGCUUCACUACAUACCUGUAAUCCUCAUAAGUAGCUUGCCCACUCUUCCAGAGACCAUAAACUUUCCUUUUGUUCUUGAGAUCCAGCCAAAGGUCUCUGUUCAGCUAGCCCGGCCUCCUUGCCUGUCGGCUCAUCUUCCGUGACAUGGGGGUGGUCAGGUCCUGCACCUUUAAAACAGUUUCCUUAAAAUAUUCCCAGCCUUCCUGGGCUCCCAUGCUCUCCAAAAUUACCUCCCAAGGGACCCUCUCAACCAUGGUCCUAAAGAGGUUGAAGUCCGCCCUCCGGAAGUCCAAGGUGGCAGUUCUGCUGAAAGAAAGAAAACAACUACAUUUCUACUGUGUCUAAUAUUUUGCUAUGGAAAUGUGCUUCACAAAAUUAAAAACAACUUUCAAAUCUCUAGAUCUUGACACAUCAGAACUCAUCUUUCCCUUUUUCAUGUCCACCCACGAGAGAGGUACUGGCUACCUGCCGAAGGAAGAGAAGCCAUGGCAAAAUGACACACCUCGCAUCUUGCCUUUCAGUAACCAAAAUUCGCUUAUCACAGGCUGUAGAAAGGAGCAAAUUUUAAAGGUAUAGAAACUUCCUACAAAGAAUGUGCUUUACCUUUCAUUACUCUCUGGGCACCAACAGAAAAUAUGUGUCUUCAGUUGAUGAAAUUUGUGGUGAGCAAAGCUGUUGGCUUCACAACAUGGUUUGAUUCGGAGAUUCUGCAUCUUAAGCCAUUUUCUAGUGUUUGUCAUAUGACGCCCUAAAUAAUAAAAGAAAUAUUAUUAACAAAACACAAUGUAAUCAUCCAGUAAAGAUUAAGUUCAUAUGUAAAACUUCUGAUUAAAUAAGUUGCAGCUUAUUUUCCCAGCUGAUUUGGACUCCUUUGAAGAGAGAGACGUUAAGUUACAUUUAUCCUAUUUGAUGGAAAUGCCAACACCUAUUUGAUAUCAAGAUAAAGGAUUGGAUUCUCUUACUCUACGGCUUGAAAGCUGUCAUUAGCUGAGUGGAUAAAACCACGUUUAAGGCCAACCAGCCUUCUGCUCCACAGAUGGAUGUCUCUUCCAUCAUAAUCUACCCAAACAUCAGAGGUGAGGUGAGGAAGGCAUGUCCUAGACAUCCCACCUUGAUAUAACUUCCCACAGAUGAAUCUUCCACGACAAAGAGAAUCCUUUCUUAAGCUUCAUUACAAGCUGGAAAUCUUCCAGCAACUAACUUUUCAAUGGAAAUAACACUUUUUUUUUCCCCUCAGAAUCUUAUGUAGUUUCUGUGAUGCCUUUGUCUUCAAAGAUCCCAAAUCACCAGGCUAGCACCUGUUUAUUAAACACUGAAAUCUUCUAUCUGCUCACUAGCCAGCAUGUCUGACCAACACAGAAUAGAGGAAAGAGUAAGGAAAAUCGGUAUAUACUACAGUUUUAAAGCAUCAAAUCCAUAAUGAGAAAAGUGAGGAAAUUCACGAAUCCAGGCUCCCUCCCUGGAAACAGUUGUCACCACCACCAGCUGGUUCUAUUUCAAAUGCCUAAUUUGAUGCCAACUACCACAUUGUUGUACUAUUAAAAAAAAAAAAAAAAAGAAGAUUGAAAGGUUGCUUCCUACUUUGUUAGAGACAGAACUCAAAUAAUCUGAAACUCUGGAGGUCAGUGCUGUGAGUGUUUGAUGAGUGGCAAGACAUUGUUCCAGAAAUACUAUUUUUAUGGAUAUGCGUGUGUGCUAAGUGAAAAAAGAGUUUCACUUCUAUUGAAAAGAAAAAUUGGAAGCUGGCUUUUGUGAGAUAUUUAACUCUUCUACCAAUCAAAAAGAUGAAGAGGAGUGUGUGGGUGUGAAAAGCCCUGAACUCAAGAAUACUUAUUGACUUAAUUUAACUAAAAAUAUUUAGUUAUCUAAAUUGGAGGUGAAGAAUUUGGGAAUAUUUUUUAAGAAAAUAGGACUGUCAAAAUGAGCAUUAGUUGCACUUUUAUGAAACAAAUUUCAGCUUCUUCUAGAGGCUAAAUGGCUGGCACUAAGACCAAGAGUUUUAUUGGACUCCUAGGGUGAAAUACCAUUUAUCCACACAUCCAACUGCUACAACAAGCGAAUCUCUUUGGCAAUAUGGCAACACAAAACUAGUUUGUUUCAUAAUUUAGCAUUUUAAAACCGAGACUGUCUAUAAAUCCUCUGUUUAUAGGUGGUUCAGUGAUAGCAAAUGGAAAAGAAGCUACCUCAAGCUGCUUAUAAAAGAGUAGGUGACACAGAUCUGUGAAGCCUCUCUCAAGGUGUACAAGAGAUGAUUUUUCUAAGCACUAGGACUAAUAUGAAUUAAAUUAAUCUUUGGGAACAGGAUGACUUACAAGUGAAAAUGCCAUAAUCUUAUGUCAUUUGCUAGAGAAGGAAAAUUGAAACAGCUGAUCAGCUGAUCUAUUCAGGGCAUUUUAAUCUAAUUUGCACAGGAGUGGGUCUAAUUCAAUGGGCCUCCUUUAAUAAAUUUAAUGUUAUUAAUCAGUCAUUUAAAUCACAGUCCUUGCCUAUUUAUACUCCCCUCUGCCUCCCACAUGUACAUAAUAUUAGCUUUGCUGAGGCAAGGGCAAGAAGACUAAUGGGAAUAAAUGAGCAGGCAAGAGUCACAGGCAUAAUGGCCCAAGAGGUGAUGGCCUCCCAUAGCCACAUUUUCCAAUUUCUUGAGCCUGUGUUCAGUGAGGUCAUCCUCCUGGCCACUUGAUGGGACAGGAGCCGAGUCCCUCCACAGCGGGUCACUUGGGAAGGGAAGAGUUGUCAGGGGAGGUGUCUUAUCCUGCCCCCCAUGUGCAGCAUAACUAAUCUGCGCAACUUCCAGAGCCCACAGACCAUGCAUGGAAGGUCAGCAGGUCCGUGGCCACCAGCUCACAGCUGGGGAAAAAAAAAAAGCAGGAAACCAUCAGCCCUUAGACUCCAAAGGCUGAAGAGGGGCAGAUAAAACAGGGUCAUUAACUCUCACCUCACGAGACUUGGCAGGUCUCUGUCCUUGAACCAGGUUAGAGUUCUGCAUUAAUUGCUAUUAUUGCCACAGCAGUAUCUUUGGUGUUUACCAAGGCCCUAAUUGGAUUACAUCACAAUGGAUGCACACAUGCCCUGAUUCUAUGGAUAAGAUGAUUAAGAGAUUGAUCAGGCAUGUGCAUGUUUCAUGUUCCUGCAGUGCUUCUGCUGAAACACGCCUAUCUGUGGGAGGACAUCAUUGGCCUCUUUACAUCUUGUGGAAAGCACAAGCCUUUGAUUUGAGCUCCAGGAGCUGAAGCAAUGCUGGUGUAGAAUGUGCAGUUAUGUGGCAUGAUGAGGAUAGACAAAUCCAUGUGUCUGACAAAUCUGUUUUCUUUCUUAAAUACUGUUUUCUUUCUUAAAUACUGUUUUCUGGAUGCAGUGGGUCACCGUGGGUGAAGUUCCCAGCUGGGCAACUGGCAUCCAAAUUGCGCUGGAUGAUUGAUAAAAGAAAUAGGAAUGGCUCCUCAGCCCUUUCAAGAAGGUGAGUGAUUUCAAAUCAAAGCUGCCACUUCACCCUCCACUGGUAAUAAAUCAGUUCAAUAUGCCUGGAUGUGCUGGUUAACUCUGGAGAUGGUCAGAUCAUACAGCUGAAAACUGUCACAUUCUUAUCAGCAACGUGGUUCUGCAGUGCCAUCCUUACUUUCCAGCAUCUCUGAGAACACAAACCUUGGAUUUUGGUACGUCACCAGGGGAAUUUGCACAUGAGAGUUCACCUUUCUGUAACAGCUGUUACAACAAAACAUAGAAGAAAAUAAUGGAAAAGCAGCUGAGUACUUCCUGUGGAAAAAGAGAGUAUGGGAACUUAUUGCCUUGGAGAAAUGGUUUGUAUUGUCUAUUAAUUUACCACCCUCAGAACCCACAUAAGCUAUAAUACAACCAGGUCACAUGAAUUGAAAGGUGAACGUGUUUAUGUGGAUCUGACAGGUGUUAAUGGUGGCUUCCAACAGGAAAAGAAAUGCAGGAGGAGAAUUUGCCCAUUAAACAAGUCCAACAGCAUUACUGCUUUGUACCAGUAUUACUUUCUGUAUCCAGGUGUUGCGAAAGUAAACGUCCUGCUACCUUUAUUUAGGAGAAGAUCCUCACAAAUGUAAUAAUCUUUUAAGGCCCAAUUUUAUCAUGCACUGUGCUUCUAUCUGGGUAUCCAAUGUAAUGUUCAUAAUAAGAUUAGCAGAGUGUAAAUCUUUAUGCAAUUUAAAUAAAUAGUCUCUUGAGUGUCUGGCAUUAGGAAUACAUUGUUCUAUAUUCCCCUACAGGCACUGAUGUUGUGUGCUGCAAUUGAGAUGUAUUUGUCUGUACCAUAUUACAAAGCAUUUGAUUUAAUUUUAAAUGGAACUGUCCCAUCUCUUCUUUGAUUUGACUAUCAUGUAAUUUGGUUAAUUAAAAUUCAUUGGGUAUUUCUUUCCAUUUGCCACAAAAAUGCUGAAGUGUGUAAUAUGGUAUAUCAAAAGUAGCUAUGUGGAAUGUCAUUGGCACAGUGCACGGAACAGCCCAAUACAGACACUAUUGUUGUAACAUCAAAUUUAUCCUAUGAAUCUCGUCUGUCCAGCUUAUAUAUAUAAUUCCACAUUCACUCAAUCUGAAUGGUUAUUUCCCAUAUUAAUAUCCUUAUUCGUUUGUUGUGAUACCUGGAUGUUUCCUAAACCUAUUGACUCAUUUAGUACUGAUCAGCUUUUAAUAUGGCCAAACAGAAUUAAACACAGGAAAACAAACAAACAAGCAAACAAAACCCAUACCAAAUUCAGAUGCCCCAUCCUUCCUCAAAUUUGUUGUAAUUCUGUUGUCUGCUUUACUGAUGGACACCAAGAAAAAAAAAAACACCAUUGCAAUCAAUAGAGCUGGGAGACCCAAACCAGUUGUUCACCUAUCUGGGUAGAUCAGUAACUGGAAGUUCAUCUCAUCUCACUGCAGAUAUCUGAAACAGGACAGAAGAACAGGCAAACUACAUUUUUCUCUUCACUGACUCCAGAAAGAGGUUAAAAAAUUAACCAGUGUCAUGUAAAUUCAUGUUCCAAGCUGUCCUGUUUGUGUUGAGCAGUCCUUGUGUAUUUGCCUUCACUCUGCAUUACUGUGUGUGAGAUGGACCUCUGUUCCAAGGCUGAAAAUACAGCCAGCAGAGGUAAAUAAUCUGUCUGGUCACUCCUGAAGUGUCAACAGUUCUAGGAUCAUGACAUCUGUUGUAAUAAGGCCAGUGGCUCAGCACAGAAGGAUUUAUAUCACUGUAAAACUGGAGUAAACUCUCCAGUCAUCCACCCCAAUGCAUUUCACAGGAUGUAUAGAUAAUAUACUUGAUAAUUCCUGCACCAAGAUUCAACAGUUUGAGGCUCAAAAAGAUUGACCUCAAAAGAAAAUGCAUAUCCUUUCUUGGUUCAAAGCUCCUCCAGCAUCACUUAACUCUUCCAUAUCCUCGGUGGUAGUUUCCUAUGGCUUGUUGCCCCACAUCAGAAACCAUAAGAGUAUCAUCCUGGUUCCCAGUAAUAUUCUGCUGGUAAAUAAAAAGUUUUCUGUUUGCUUGUUUUUCAAGAAUGUGCUGUUAAUCUUUUAAUUACUACAAGGGAACAAAAGCUGCAAAGGCAUCUCAUGUUACAGGACAUAGUUUUUGCUAAAGCACUGCCAUGAUGAAUUCAACAGUGUUAACUUUUCCUGUGAUCAAUCACAAUAACACCUGAUCAGUGAUAAAGACUUCGCUCCUCAUGCAGACGCUUAUUUUAAAGCAGUCAUCUCUACAGCACCACCAGCAAAAUUUACUUCAUGGUUGGCAUUGCUUCACCAAACCACCAUCUGUGACAAACCUGCCCUUCCCUGUCUCCUGCUCCCUGCUGAAAGUGCUCGUAAUUCACUGCUUCAUAACUUACUGCCUGAGAAGGAGCCAGGCAAGGCAAUGAAGCAAAGCCUGUGGCCAGGAGAGAGGGGAGGAGGAAGACAACUGCCUUACUGAAAGGCCAGGCCUACCUGGAUGAUUAGGCCUCCAGCAUGCAGUCUGGUGAGAGAUGGCACUUCCCUUCCUCCUCACGUGAGCAGGGCAGGUAAGAGGCUUCACCAUGUGGAUCAGUACGGAGUUGGUCUGUCGCCAGGUGACCUGGUCUAGGGACAUGCCACCCAGGAUGUGGCCCAGGUGGCUGCUAUCUGCCCCUCCCCAGCCCCAUUCACCUGCCUUUCUCACACUUAAAAAACAAAACAAACAAAAAAUGCUCUUACUUUCUUGUUAGGAUGAGCGUUUCCAUGCCUCUACCCACAGCUGUUAUUUUAACUACUUUUAAAGGAAUAACUGAGUUUCUUAGGUAAUUUCUGGGCUCUGUAACCCGAGGCUUUAAGAAAAAUAAAAAAGCCCAUGGCAACUGAUUGACAACAGAUCCUCAGCUACUUUUACAACAUCAGGGAAGUAUAACAAAAGCAUUAGAGGAGCUUUUUGGUUUUCUGACUCUUCGUCUAAACCCAUAGCAAGUUCUCUGGAACCAUGCUGCAAAGGCUGAGCCCUUGAAGCAAAGAAAUUUCAAUUCCCCUGCAAAAACCCAGGGGUUUGUAGGCUCCAGCUGAACAGCCAGGGCUGGUACAAGUGCCAAUGAAGGGAACAGUCUGGAAGGCAAACUUACAGGUACCUGUGCCCAAACACAAUCGGAUAGCCAGGACUGGGAAUCUUGUCUGCAGGUGGUUCCUCCUCAGCUGGAAAAGGCAGAUGCUAAGGAGACUUUGCUAAUUUCCCCUGCCUGGAAACUUGUAAUGAGCUCAGAGCAGGAGAAUAGCAAAAGGGCACAUCUGUUAGUUUCUCCUAAGCUGGAGAGGGCUUAGAGCCAAGAAAGAUGUCUAGGGGCUAAUUUGCUGGCCUAUCUAAAGCACAGGAGAAAGUCUGAGUCUGGGAGAAAGCUCCAUGCAUUCUGCCUGAGAGAAGGAAAGCUGGUGAGUGUCACGAGGAGUUUAGGGCCGGUACAGGUUAUGAGACAGGAUUUUUUUCAUUUACGUUCAAUUAAAACUCUAGUCAUUCAUGUUAUACACAUCCAGUGGAUACAAUCUGCUCUUUCUCAGCAAGGUUAAUUAGCCAGUGAAUUCAGGCUGUGUCUGGUACUCUUGGGUAAUAUAUAUAUCGGUAAAUGCAGUGUCCCUGAGGCUGCUCUUUGGUCCUGCUACAAAUAACAUGAGGCAGCUAAUAACUACAUGCCCAUCCAAGUGAUGAACAAAUUGAAAGGAAAGUUGUGGGAAAGAUAAGAAAACAAAUGUGGAUUCCAAUUUCAUGCCACUACUUCAAUCUAUCCUACACUACGUGGACUUGGUGACCUCCCUCGUACCUGAAAUCUUGUGCCUUUUGAGAGUGAGUGCUACUAUAAUCCCGGUGUUUUCUUCUUUCCUUUCAGAAUUUUGUCCAUUCUAACAGAUGUUCCUGCACAAGUUUGCCAUCACUCUAAAGCAAGUGUGUCAUGGCUGACCAACUGUGUCACCCCUGGGAUCCCCCAGCUGUAUCACUUAGUACCAUACCUGCUAUGGAGAGCAAGGGAGCACAGGCAUCUGGCACACUUCCUACAUAUCAGUCCCACCUGCAGCACCUUGUCACUGGGCCUGUUUGCAUCAGACAGAGCUGCACAAUGUGUAAAGUGCCUUUGUCAGCUAGUAUGGUGGAUUCUGGCUUAUAAUCACUAUGGCUAAAUAGAAAAAAAGCUUGACAAAAUCCACACUGCAUUUUUAAUUGCUGUUGGAAUCGUCAGAACUAACCCAUCCUGUUCCUGUUUCUCUCUUCCUGUUUCUGAUGCCCACACUCAUCAUGCUUGUGCUUGGCAGGGGUUCAGAGCUGCAACUGGAAGCAUCCUGAGGCUUGUGAGAUCUGAGUAACUGCUACUCUGUUGCAAGCCUAACAGCACAGAUCUCUUGGAGAACCACACGAUAUGCUUGAUUUUUAAACCUGUUGUUUUUAAACUAAUAUUUAGAAAUCCAAAAUAAGUUAGCUGUGCUUCCCUAAAGACAGAACUAUUGCAGAAUAAUUGGGGUAGUUUCGAAGCAAAUGUGAAUCCUUAAUCACUUGUGAAUAUUGCACAGCAGUAACAGGCUGUCUUAACAGGAACUUGUGUCCUCCAUCCAACAAAUGCUUGCAGAUCACAGAAAACAACCAAGCCCAAAGUCUAGAAAAACCAUCUCCAGCAAACAGCACGGGGAUUUCAUAAUUAAGCAUAAGUUGUGAAUGCGUGUCAGUAGUCUCAGUUUGGAAAAGAACAUUUCCUCAGUCAACGUAAAACAGUUUCAUGACUGUGAAGAAAGAACUGAAUGGGCAUUUAUUAUUUACUCUCUUAGGAAGAUCAGAAAAUAGGUGAUUAAAAUGUUAUUCGCUGUUUUAAAGUGAUGAUACUUUUGAUCAAAUUAAUAAAAUUCUCAUUACUCACUAUAACCACAGUGUCUUCUAUAUGCUGAGACAGCUACAACCCUGCUACUCUUUUCACAAUUCAUUCGCACUCUUCGUUUAAUUUAUGUUCUUAUUUCUAAGAAUACUGCAGAAAGUCUAUGGGGAAAACAGAUUUCUUUUAUCUUCCCCAAAAGCUGGAGCAUGGAGUUAUUCAUUUGUUAGCUUUUGGGAAACAGAACAGCAUAGACAAAUGGCAGGAAAUUCAGAAUUCAAGUGCAGAGCAAGUAUCCGAUAAAAUAAAUAAAUGAAUAAAGCAAGCAAACAUGUUAAACCUAUUCUCAAUCUGAGCAGCUCAUUUGACUGGUCUUCUAGUUGCUAUAUUGCAAAGCAAAAGUUAUGCAUCUUGCUCGAGGAACACCACACAAAUUAGAAGAAAUGCCAACACUGGAAAAUGCAGUAGUCUUAGAUUGGUCUGCCAUUUGGGAGGACUGGUUUUCUGAUUACAUGACACUCGUCAUGUUUCUUUUUCUAUACCUGUUUUGUGUGAACGUUACUAACUCGUCUGGGUAAUGUUUUAUCUGGAGCUUUACUGUCCCUGCUGAAUUCCACUGGCUUCUGUUCCUGUAAUGUACACAGUCUCAAUUUGGAAGACUAAACACUCUAAAAACUUUGGAGUUAUGGUUUUUGACUGCUCCACUACCAAUUUCUGUAUUCCAUAUAAGCUACCAUUUAAUUGACAAGUUAGAUUAUGAAUUAACUUCCCUACCACCUGCCCUGCACGUUUUCUGCAGUUAGCUAAAUGUACUUGUAGGAGGUCUGGCAUUUAUUUCUCUGAAUGACAAAAUGGAAUAGGCAACACUAAUCUCCUACAAGCAGACUUUCCUGCUCCAUUUUCAAUAUUUUGAUGAAUUCCACUGAUUUCUUGGUGUACGUUAGUGUAUAUACACAAAUUGGUUAAAAAAGUUUCUAUUUUAUCUAUUUAUCUAUUAUCUAUUUUAUUUAUUUUUUUCUAUUUAUCUAUUUUAUUUUUACCGAAAGCUUACAAUCAUGUUUCCAUGAUUACCAGUUAUACCUAAUUUUUGUGAUUGGGUGCACCAGACAGUUUGCUGAUGACACCAAGCUGAGUGGUAUAGUUGAUACAAUAGAGGGGAGGGAUGCCAUCCAGAGGAACCUGGAUAGACUCAAAAAUUGGGCACGAGAACCUAAUGAGGCUUAACAAGGCCAAGUGCAACAUCUUGCACUAGGGUCGAGGUAUUCCCAGAUACGUGUACAGACUGGGAGAAAAACUCGAGAGCAGCCCUACAGAGAAGGACUUGGGGGUUCUGGUGGAUGAAAAGUGGGACAUGAGCCAGCUGUGUGCUCUUGCAGCCUAGAAGGCCAACAGCGUCCUGGGCUGCAUCAAAAGAGUAGUGGCCCGCAGGGAGAGGGAGGCGACUGUCCCCCUGUACUCUGCCCCUGUGAGGCUCUAUCUGGAUUCCUGUGUCCAAGCCUGGGGCCCCCAGUACAGGAAGGACGAGGAGCUGUUGGAGUGGGUCCACAGGAGGGCCACAAAGAUAAUCAAAGAACUGGAUCACCUCUCCUGCAAAGAAAGGUUGAGGGAGUUGGCCUUCUUCAGCUUGGAGAAGAGAAGGCUCUGGAGAGACCUCACUGUGUUCUUCCAGUACUUGAAGGGAGCUUACAAGCAGGGAGGGAACUGACUUUUUACACAGUCUGACAGUGAUAGAACAGGGGGGAAUGACUGUAAAUUGAAAGAGGGGAGAUGGUAAGAAGCGAUUUGUUACUCAGAGGGUGGUGAGGUGCUGCAACAGGUUGCCCGGAGAGGUUGUGGACACCCCAUCUCUGGCGGUAUCCAAGGCCAGGUUGGAUGGGAUCCUGGGCAGUCUGAUCUAGUGUCUGAGAACCUUGCCCAUGACAGGGAUGUUGGAACUAGAUGAUCUUUAAGGUUCCUUCCAACCUAAGCUAUAUGAUUCUUUGAUAUGUUUGAAAGGCAAAGUGACUGUCAGGCAAUACUGUGAAGCCAUAUGCCUCCUACAUGUUUUGAGAAAUCAAAUAUCACCAUUUUGCUCUGUACAACAUGUCACAAUAUCACUUCAAUACAGUUAAGAUAAUCCUUAAUGACUUUUGCAGGCUGCUAAUUCAUUUAGAGCAAUACAUAAAAUUAAUACCUGUCUAUUAGCUAGUAAAGGGUUAGACAGCAAUAUAUAACACUAUAUUCAGUGAAAAAAAAAA
ensembl:lncRNA